CAGUCGCCACGGUAAAACGCAGGUGGCAAGCGUUGUCCGGAUUUACUGGGCGUAAAGGGCGCGUAGGCGGACUGAUAAGUCAGGGGUGAAAUCCCAAGGCUCAACCUUGGAACUGCCUUUGAUACUGUUUGUCUUGAGUUCGAGAGAGGUAAGUGGAACUGCGAGUGUAGAGGUGAAAUUCGUAGAUAUUCGCAAGAACACCAGUGGCGAAGGCGGCUUACUGGCUCGAAACUGACGCUGAGGCGCGAAAGCGUGGGGAGCAAACAGGAUUAGAGACCCCCGUAGUCCCUGUCUCUUAUAC
rnacentral:rRNA from 1 species